rnacentral:misc_RNA from 1 species
UUCUUCUUCUUCAUUUUCUCUUUUGCUUAAACGUAGUGUAUCCUUCAAUUUUUUCUCUUUCUUUUACUCAUUUUCUUGAAAUAUAACAAAAAAGAUCAUAUGGGUCGAGCUAGAAACUGGGAUGCCUAAGUUGUUUCUUGAAAAUUAUGAGGAGUUUGGGAGGAUGGAAACUGGUGUUUACACCUGGAAAUGAGGGAGAGGCAACGGUGGCGAGCUGAAGAGGAUGCUUUGUUGCGAGCAUACGUGAGACAGUAUGGACCAAAAGAAUGGCACCUUGUAUCACAGCGUAUGAACACGCCCCUUAACAGGGACGCGAAGUCUUGUUUAGAAAGGUGGAAAAACUACCUCAAACCAGGGAUUAAAAAAGGAUCACUCACUGAAGACGAGCAGCGUCUUGUUAUACAACUACAAGCCAAACACGGUAACAAAUGG